AUUGACCCCUGCUGGGCUGGACUUGAGGUUCACGGCCACAUGGUUCCCUGUGCAGCGCCCCGUGGGUCCCAGCAGACACAGCACCAUAAUGGGAGACUUCUAGGCCGAGAGGGCAAAAGCUUCAAACAGCAGGCGGCAGCACCAGCUGUGUGGUGGCUGGGAGCUGGUCUAGCCUCCGCCUUCCUUCCAGAAGUCUCCCCAGCAUCCUCAACCAGGGCAGGAGCUGUGUUGCAGCGGUGCCUGUUGCAUGUGGAAGUCUCCCUUCAAGGUUUGCAUCAUGGAACUCACCUGGCCCAACCUCUCAGGGAGGAAAAUUCCAACCAGAGAGGGCCGCUCCUGUACUCUGGGAUGCCUUCUCCUGUCUGCCUGCCCAAAUCCUCGCUGACCUUCAAGUUCCAGCGUCGGGAAGUGCCUGGCCGCAUUUCUUAAAGGUUUUACAAGGAUAGACAUCAUUUCCUCCAAAAGAACACAGAGGGAAUGUUGAGCGCUCCCUUUCCCUACUUCUCCUUCUCAUGAUUAAGCAGGCAUUGUGGCUGUUGAGAUUAAAGCCCCAUGCGGAGAUGCAGGGCACCAGGCUAGAUGGAGCCCAGGUCCCCAGGCAGCGGUGUGGAGAAGACUCAUCAUGUUCACCUGGCCCACCUAUCCAUUUGGACUUUUCAAUAAGAAAUAAAUCAGUUUUGA
rnacentral:lncRNA from 1 species